rnacentral:lncRNA from 1 species
AUGGCGGCUAACACUAGUACCAGCUCCUUACAGCUGCUACUGCUAGAGCUUGUAGACAAAUGUAAGAAUCAAAAAUUCUCAUUGUGAUGAAAACUGAUAAGGAAAUUGUUGAUACUCUUCUAGGAUUUGAUAACUUUGUCAAUAUGGUACUGCAAGAUAUCACUGAGUUUGAAAUCCCACCAGAAGAAAGAAUACUAAAUUAGAUCAGAUUUUGCUAAACGGAAAUAAUAUAAUAAUGUUGGUUCAUGGAGGAGGAGGACCUGAG